ensembl:snoRNA
AUCUUUUCGUGGUUCAUAGCAGGAUUGCUGGGUUUUCACACCACUGUGAGAGAUGUGCCUCCCUCGAGCCUUGUUACAGCAUCAGUGCAUUACCCACCCAAAG